rnacentral:rRNA from 1 species
GACGAACGCUGGCGGCGUGCUUAACACAUGCAAGUCGAACGGAAAGGCCCUGCUUGCCGGGUACUCGAGUGGCGAACGGGUGAGUAACACGUGGGUGAUCUGCCCUGCACUUCGGGAUAAGCCUGGGAAACUGGGUCUAAUACCGGAUAGGAGCCAUUUUUAGUGUGAUGGUUGGAAAGUUUUUUCGGUGUAGGAUGAGCUCGCGGCCUAUCAGCUUGUUGGUGGGGUAAUGGCCUACCAAGGCGGCGACGGGUAGCCGGCCUGAGAGGGUGGACGGCCACAUUGGGACUGAGAUACGGCCCAGACUCCGACGGGAGGCAGCAGUGGGGAAUAUUGCACAAUGGGCGCAAGCCUGAUGCAGCGACGCCGCGGGGGGGAGGACGGCCUUCGGGUUGUAAACUCCUUUCGCUAGGGACGAAGCUUUUUGUGACGGUACCUAGAUAAGAAGCACCGGCUAACUACGUG